GGGGCUGGCGGUAGUCCCAUCAUCAGCCCUGGAUCUGGGUGAAGCUGCGAGUCACAGAGACCCAAGGCGGGCGAGCCCUGCUCUGCCUGCAGAGUCCACACCUGGCUGCCUACAAGAGCUGAACCCCACCACCAGCUUUGGGGACCCAGGAAGUUCUGAGUUCAAGGUGAAAGAGUCAAAGUGCCCUGGGCAAGGGCCCUCUCGAUUGGGAAGAGCAGGGGUGGGGUCUGCCUGGGAGGAGCCUACUGGGGGGAGGUGGUCCUACCUCCUAUAGCCAGGGGGAAGAAGGGACCGCCACUGAAGUACCUUUUACACAACAUAAAAGAAGUUUAAUGAAUUCAGGAAUCAGGCGAGGGCUGUGAUGGAAGUGAGGCCCGCUAGGACAGCCACUGAGGUCUCCAGGGUCCCUUGGGGAAAGUGGGCCUGGCACGGGGAUUCCCUCACAAGCCUGGGCCCAAAUGCUCUUGCUUCCCAGAACCUGGCCCAGAGGGCAGAGAGGAGACAAGCAGGACCCACAACCCAGAGGCCCUGUCAACAGCCAUCCGUGAAUGUAGGCGGUCGAAAGCUCACUCAGGGAGCCCCAAGGCUCUGGGGCCUGCCCUCCCGGGGCCUGCCAGAACCCCAGGUUCCCCUGGAGGGGCUGGGCUGGAGCCUGGGCCGGGAGAGAGCAGAACUUCAGAAACUGCUGAGGAUCGAGAUUCCUCAGAGGCAGAGAGAGGGGGACCCUCAGGAGCAGAAAGAAGAGAGCCCCCAGGGUCAGAGAGGGGAAGCCCCCCAGGGGGAGAGCAAAGUUCCUUCCGGACACAGAGAGAAGACACGCCAGGGUCAGUGUGCGGAGGCCACUCAGGCUCUGAGGGAGGAGGUCUCGGAGUAUCCCAGGUGUGAGGCUCCCCAGAGUGAGAGGAGAGAGUCUCCUCAAGGUCAAAGAGGAAACAGCCCUAAGUGUCAGAGAACGGAGGUUCUCCAGGAGACACAAGACCCGGAAAUGAAGACCCUUCAGACUUCCCCAGGCCCUAACUGGGAGGUGGCUGAGGGAGAGGUGCCUACACAACCCCCGGAGGAAGGCGGCUCCCUGGGAAUUUCUAGGGAUCUCUGUAGGUCCCUGGGAGAACAGAUGCCACAGCAAAGGGGUAGGGAGAGCCCUGGCUCCGGGGAAAGGGCCGCCCAGCGGCGAGAGUCAGCACCGGGCGCGGGAGAGCAGAGGGCCGCCGGGGAGCGGGUACGGACUCCCCUUCCACCCCCGAGGCCCCCGACCCGGCCGCUGCUCCCAAGCCCAGGGGCCGAGACGCUAGAGGCCCCAAGCACUGGGAGCUCGGGGCAGCAGGAGCGCCCCGCAGCUCCCCGGGGGCACCCAGGGCUGGUGCCCGACCCGCACGGGCUUCAGGACCGGGAAGAAAGCCCAGGCCCGGCGGAGCAGGUGCCGGACGCCGGCGGGGAGCCGAGGGGCGACGCGGAGGCCCCCAAGGCCUCGAAGGCCGCGUGGCCCUGGCCCCCGGGCAGGGAGAAGGCGUCGGCGGGCGUGAGCGCGGUGCAGCAGGAGACCGCUCUGCAGCGGCUGCUGGAGCUGCACCGCGCGGCCAGGCGCCGGCGGCGGCAGGAUCGCGAGCAGCAGCGGCUCCGGGUGCGUAUCCGCACCUGCCUGCCGGCUUCAGGCAGGCGGGGCCUGCCGAGGACCGGCCGGCCGGCCGCUGACAGCCGUCUCCCCCUCCCCCCCCCCCCCAGGUCUUGGAAUGCCUCCGCAUCGCCAGGAACCGCCACUGCCGGGUGCACCCUCUGGGGCCCCCACCCAGCCCAGCUCAGCUCCAGCCACAGGCAAGGCUCCCAGAAGGCGGUGGCGUCACCACCAUCUGGGCCAGGGCGGGGGGAACGCGGGGAUGGGGGAGGGGAGGGCUGGGUCCGAGCUGGUAUCGCCUCCUGGAUGCCUUUGGAGUGCACACUUGCACUGACCCCGACAGAGGGCGGGAGGGGGGCGUCAGUCCGGGUGCUGCCCCCUGCUGGCUCCAUCAAGCCCGCGGGGUCCGAGGCCGGGGCGCUCAGCGCUCUGCACCGCCCCAGGAGGACGCGGCGGGGCAGCGGCGAGCCCUGCGGCAGCAGCUGCAACAAGUGCAUCGGGAGAGGACCCGGCGGCUGCGGGCCCUCGGGGCCAGGAACACCCAGAACUUCCAGCAGCUACUGUGGCCUCGCACUGAGGACCCUUUGCCAGGAGAGGAGCCCUCGCCCUUCGCAGCCCCAUCUAGUCAUUGCUGAAUCCUCAAAGGGAUGA
rnacentral:lncRNA from 1 species